rnacentral:rRNA from 1 species
AGUGAACGCUGGCGGUAGGCCUAACACACGCAAGUCGAACGGCAGCACAGAGGAGCUUGCUCCUUGGGUGGCGAGUGGCGGACGGGUGAGGAAUACAUCGGAAUCUACUUUUUCGUGGGGGAUAACGUAGGGAAACUUACGCUAAUACCGCAUACGACCUACGGGUGAAAGCAGGGGACCUUCGGGCCUUGCGCGAUUGAAUGAGCCGAUGUCGGAUUAGCUAGUUGGCGGGGUAAAGGCCCACCAAGGCGACGAUCCGUAGCUGGUCUGAGAGGAUGAGCAGCCACACUGGAACUGAGACACGGGCCAGACUCCUACGGGAGGCAGCAGUGGGGAAUAUUGGACAAUGGGCGCAAGCCUGAUCCAGCCAUACCGCGUGGGUGAAGAAGGCCUUCGGGUUGUAAAGCCCUUUUGUUGGGAAAGAAAUUCAGCUGGCUAAUACCCGGUUGGGAUGAUGGUACCCAAAGAAUAAGCACCGGCUAACUUCGUGCCAGCCGCCGCGGUAA